rnacentral:rRNA from 1 species
UAGGGAAUAUUGGACAAUGGGUGAGAGCCUGAUCCAGCCAUGCCGCGUGCAGGAAGAAGGCGUUAUGCGUUGUAAACUGCUUUUGCCAGGGGAUAAAAAGACCGUGCGCGGUUAAUUGAAGGUACCUGGUGAAUAAGCCACGGCUAACUACGUGCCAGCAGCCGCGGUAAUACGUAGGUGGCAAGCGUUGUCCGGAUUUAUUGGGUUUAAAGGGUGCGUAGGUGGCCCUGUAAGUCAGUGGUGAAAUAUCUCAGCUUAACUGAGAGGGUGCCAUUGAUACUGCAGGGCCUGAGUACAGAUGAGGUAGGCGGAAUUGACGGUGUAGCGGUGAAAUGCAUAGAUAUCGUCAAGAACACCGAUAGCGAAGGCAGCUUACCAAGCUGUAACUGACACUGAGGCACGAAAGUGUGGGGAUCAAACAGGAUUAGAUACCCCCGUAGUCCCUGAGCGGGCUGGCAAGGCGCAU